CUUUAUUUCUAGAAAUGGCACAUAGACUGUUGGAAUGAUGGACCUUGACAUCAUAAGUUCAAUGAGCAUGAAAGAUGAUUGCCUGUGUGAAACUCAGUGCUGAGGUUUGGACUGGGGAAGACUGGGGAAGUAGACAGCAAUGCAGAGAGGACCACCCCCACGAAAGGCAUUUACAGACCCUUGGCCUAAACACUCCGCAAUUUAUUUGCUGGGCUUGGAUGGACACCUGCCUACAUGUGACUCUGUCUCACCUUUUUCUAUCACCAAGGUCCCCACCUUCCAACUGAUACAUUCUUCCUUCAUAGAAGUUAAGAUACUUAAGCAAGUCACUGUCAAGUCUUACUGAUCUGCCUGUCUUUUUACAAAGACAGUCUAUCUCUACUCUCACCCAUUAUUCCUGAAUUCGUGGAAGGUGCGAGUGGGGAGGACAUUUUGAUGGUUCCCCUAAAGCACUGAGAUGGAGGCAUAUUCCCCACUAGAAAAGCUCUUGUUUCUGUUUCUCCAUUAUGAGAACCCAGGUGUUUGAUUCUACUAGUCUUGCGAAAAGAAAUAGCAUUGUUUCCAUUUCAGUCAAUGAUACAGAGAUAUAGAUAGAUACGUAUCUAUGUAUCUUGCUCUAAAGAAAGAGAUUAGGCAGAAUAUAUGGGAUAAGUCCACAAACACUUAUUGGAGGCACUGUGGGGCCCGAGGUGCUUUGCAACUCUUGAGCAUUUUUUGUUUUAGGAAGAGAGUAUGGUGCAUAUGCAUACACUGUAUAUUACACAAUACCCUAAACAGGGUCCAGGUCAGAAUUUUUAAAUCAAACACUAAUGUUUCUACAGUGAAAUGUUUGAUCAUUCAUACUAAGUGGGCAAAUAAUGACUAUAAAUAGCCUCUCGCUAGUUCAGGUCAGGUUUUGCUGCCAAAGGAGUCCAAGUCAGGUCACAUUUACUCUCAAAUGAUUUAUGGAAAAACUAUCCUCAGAGCUUUCUGGAUCAUGGAAUUGAGAAUGAGAAACUAUGGACCUGUAAUAUGGAAUGUUCCCUUGUAAAAUGGCAUCUAAUUUUCAGGGAAGGCAGUGAAACAUAUUAAAACCUACUAAAUAUGACAAAUUGAUUAAUUUAUGAGUAAGAGUAUUCAAUAAAUACUUGCAAAAGGGGUAAGAAACACAGUUAUUGAGACAGUGGCAAUUUCGGGGAGAUUUAAAAUAUUUUAAUUAUUUAUUCAUUCAUUCAUUUUAGAGAGAUAGCACAU